rnacentral:tRNA from 1 species
GCGUAAUUGGUUUAGUGGUAAAAUUCUCCGUUGCCAUUCGAGCAGCGUCGAGGGUUCGAUUCCCUGAUUACGCA